rnacentral:misc_RNA from 1 species
CUGAGUGAGGGUUCCUUCGGGGCCCAACCUCCCACCCGUGUAUACCGUACCUUGUUGCUUCGGCGGGCCCGCCGCGCAUGCGGCCGCCGGGGGGGCUUCAAACCCCUCCCUGGGCGAGCGCCCGCCGGAGACACCAACGUGAACACUGUCUGAAGUUUUGUUGUCUGAGUUCGAUUGUAUCGCAAUCAGUUA